GGUCCAGACUCCUACGGGAGGCAGCAGUGGGGGAUAUUGCACAAUGGGGGGAACCCUGAUGCAGCGACGCCGCGUGAACGAAGAAAUAUUUCGGUAUGUAAAGUUCUAUCAGCAGGGAAGAAAAUGACAGUACCUGACCAAGAAGCCCCGACUAACUACGUGCCAGCAGCCGCGGUAAUACGUAGGGGGCAAGCGUUAUCCGGAUUUACUGGGUGUAAAGGGAGCGUAGACGGUAAGGCAAGUCAGAUGUGAAAGCCCGGGGCUCAACCGCGGGACUGCAUUUGAAACUGUCCUACUGGAGUGCAGGAGAGGUAAGUGGAAUUCCUAGUGUAGCGGUGAAAUGCGUAGAUAUUAGGAGGAACACCAGUGGCGAAGGCGGCUUACUGGACUGUAACUGACGUUGAGGCUCGAAAGCGUGGGGAGCAAACAGGAUUAGAUACCCGGGUAUC
rnacentral:rRNA from 1 species